rnacentral:rRNA from 1 species
UAAUACGUAGGGGGCGAGCGUUGUCCGGAUUCAUUGGGCGUAAAGCGCGUGCAGGCGGCCUGGUAAGUCGGCCGUGAAAGCGCCAGGCUUAACCUGGCGAGGUCGGGCGAGACUGCUAGGCUGGAGGCCGGUAGAGGGCGGUGGAAUUCCGGGUGUAGUGGUGGAAUGCGUAGAGAUCCGGAGGAACACCAGUGGCGAAGGCGGCCGCCUGGGCCGGACCUGACGCUGAGACGCGAAAGCGUGGGGAGCGAUCCGGAUUAGAUACCCGGGUAGUCCACGCCGUAAACGAUGGGCACUAGGUGUCGGGGGUAUCGACCCCUCCGGUGCCGGAGCUAACGCAAUAAGUGCCCCGCCUGGGGAGUACGGCCGCAAGGCUA